rnacentral:lncRNA from 1 species
AGCCUAACUAAAAAUAUGCAUUAAUAAUGAGGACUCAAAAUUAAGGGACUUAUUUAUCUACUUAUAUAAACGCACUUUUCUGGUAAGUGCUUAUGCUAUUUAUUUAAGCUGUUUAUCCAAACUUGUUUAAUUUUUGUGGAAUCUUAAGGGGUAGGUAACCAUGACGAAUACUUGCUUCCCAUACUUUCUCAAUGUUAAAUACAGUGUCGCCACACUCAUGAGCAUCCCAUCCUUCUAAGGCAUGAAU